AUCAGGUGGCCAAAGUACUGGAGCUUCAGCAUCAGUCCUUCCAGUGAAUAUUCAGGGUUGAUUUCCUUCAGGAUGGACUGGUUGGAUCUCCUUGCAGUCCUCAGGACUCUCAAGAGUCUCCUCCCUCCAGGCGGGCCUGGGCUCUCAGGGCCAGUGCCGUGUCAGCAGCGCCCCCGCGGGUGGUCCUGUGGAGAGAGCAGCGUGAGCCCCUCUUGGGGGGACCAGGGGCCUGGAGGUUCCGUGUCCAGUUGCUUCAGUUUGGGGGUCUGAUUCCCUGUCCCCCAUGCCAGCAGCAGCUUGUGUCCACUUCUGGCCCACAGUCACCUGUGACGGUCCCUACGGUCCCGCCGAGGGGGCGGGAGGAGCCGCGAGUGAGGACCCCACGUGUCCUGUCACCAGAGCCGGGCCGCCUGCAUCUGGGGUUCCCAGGGCUCUGUAGACGCCGGCCAGACCCGGGGGAAGCUGUGUGUCUGCACAUAAGGUCCAGGCCGACGCGCCCUCCACACCUGUGGCUCCCUGUGGCGAUGCUGACCACCCCCCGCCCCCCCGCCCCGCCCCCGCCUGCCUUCCGUGUCUGGAGACCAUGGAGAUGAAACACCAGUUCACAGUUAUACCAAGAGACAGGCGAUGGGACAUGCUAGAAUGUCCAGGGACAGACACAGUAAAUUGUGGAAAUUUGUUUUUGGUUAAGAUGGCAUUUCACAUCAGCGGGGAACAGAGGAAUUACUCAGUAAGAAGUCAACAAUUGGGUGACCACCUGAGGGAAGAAGUAAACCAAAGUUGGAUAUAUGUCUCACAACCAGAUUUGAAGCUGAUCAGAGACUUCACAUAAAGACAUGGAAGCAUGGAUUAUUAGAGUAAACCAUGGGGCAGUUUUUUGUAGCCGCCUGUCCAGAAGGCUUUGCUAAGUUUGUUUCCAAACCCAGAAAAGGUUGAGAAAUGUAAAAGAUUGCUAAAUACAAAAAUGAAAUUUUCUGCAUGCCAUAAAAUAACCAUGAAGUUGAAAGACGUUUGGAAACAGGUGAAAUUCACAUGGAGGAUAAAAGGUCUAUUUCUUUUCUUGAAGAUACUUCCUCCAUAUCAAUAAGACAAGACUUUAAGGACCUGCAGCUCUGUAGAGCCAUGGUUAACUUCAGACGGUUUAAUGCAGAUGGUCCCUAACACUCGAGAUGUUCGAGCUCCCUCAGAACAGGAGAGACUCAGGUUAGAGAUGCAGUGAGGAGGUGCGUUUACGGUUAGCGCCACCGUGACCGUGGUCUGGCGGGCCCUCAGCAGCGCCUGAGCGAGGUGCUGGCAGUGGCCACCCAGGAUGUGCACGCGUGUCCUCGAGCAGGGCGUCACGCGUGGUCUGCCCCGUGUGUGUGUGUGUGAGCACGCGUGUCUUCGAGCAGGGCGUCACGCGUGGCUGCCCCGUGUGUGUGUGUGUGAGCACGCGUGUCCUCGAGCAGGGCGUCACGCGUGGUCUGCCCCGUGUGUGUGUGUGUGGGCACGCGUGUCUUCGAGCAGGGCGUCACGCGUGCCUGCCCCGUGUGUGUGUGUGUGGGCACGUGUGUCCUCGAGCAGGGCGUCACGCGUGGUCUGCCCCGUGUGUGUGUGUGUGGGCACGCGUGUCUUCGAGCAGGGCGUCACGCGUGGUCUGCCCCGUGUGUGUGUGUGUGUGAGCACGCGUGUCCUCGAGCAGGGUG